AGGCAGGAAGUGGCUCUGCAGGAAUUGAGGGAGACUUCGAGGGAGAGGAGCCUUGCUGGGUCCGCCAGAUCUUCAGUGGUGAGCACCCCCCAGCCUGCCCCAGGGCAUGCCCCAGUUCACUUUCGCCUGUUUCUGUGGCCUCCACGGCUUCUGCAAGAUGAAGAGGAAGAAGGAAGAGAUUCACAGAGAGCGGGAAACGGCCGUGGAGACAGACACUUGGCUUCUCCCGGCAUCUUUGAAAGGAUUCUGGAAACCUGUUUCCACCGCUGUGCCCUUGGGUGAGCACAGGAC